GAGUGAACGCUGGCGGCAGGCCUAACACAUGCAAGUCGAGCGGCAGCGGGGUUCCCGCGAGGGGAUGCCGGCGAGCGGCGGACGGGGUGAGGAACACAUCGGAAUCUGCCUGGUUGUGGGGGAUAACGUAGGGAAACUUACGCUAAUACCGCAUGCGACCCUGAGUCGACGGACUGGGGGUAGAAAGUGAGGGACCUUCGGCCUCACGCGACCAGAUGAGCCGAUGUCGGA
rnacentral:rRNA from 1 species